ACGCUGGCGGCGUGCCUAACACAUGCAAGUCGAGCGGGGUUGAAGCGAGAGGUAACUCGAACUUCUACCUAGCGGCGGACGGGUGAGUAACGCGUGGGCAACCUGCCUCAAGGUCUGGGAUAACAGCCCGAAAGGGCUGCUAAUACCGGGUAUGCUUGUGGCCUCGCAUGGGGCUAUGAGCAAAGGGGAAACCCGCCUUGAGAUGGGCCCGCGUCCCAUCAGCUAGUUGGUGAGGUAACAGCUCACCAAGGCGACGACGGGUAGCCGGCCUGAGAGGGUGACCGGCCACACUGGGACUGAGACACGGCCCAGACUCCUACGGGAGGCAGCAGUCGAGAAUAGUCUACAAUGGCCGGAAGGCUGAUAGUGCGACGCCGCGUGAACGAGGGAGCCCUUCGGGGUGUAAAGUUCUUUUCUAUACGAGCAGUGCUAUAUAUAUGGAUAGUAUAUAUAGAGGGAUAGUAGUAUAGGAAUAAGCAACGGCUAACUCCGUG
rnacentral:rRNA from 1 species